rnacentral:rRNA from 1 species
UAGGGAAUCUUCCGCAAUGGGCGAAAGCCUGACGGAGCAACGCCGCGUGAGUGAUGAAGGUCUUCGGAUCGUAAAACUCUGUUAUUAGGGAAGAACAAAUGUGUAAGUAACUAUGCACGUCUUGACGGUACCUAAUCAGAAAGCCACGGCUAACUACGUGCCAGCAGCCGCGGUAAUACGUAGGUGGCAAGCGUUAUCCGGGAUUAUUGGGCGUAAAGCGCGCGUAGGCGGUUUUUUAAGUAUGAUGUGAAAGCCCACGGCUCAACCGUGGAGGGUCAUUGGAAACUGGAUAACUUGAGUGCAGAAGAGGAAAGUGGAAUUCGAUGUGUAGCGGUGAAAUACGCAGAGAUAUGGAGGAACACCAGUGGCGAAGGCGACUUUCUGGUCUGUAACUGACGCUGAUGUGCGAAAGCGUGGGGAUCAAACAGG